rnacentral:lncRNA from 1 species
CGGCCCUCGACGGCAACAGAACGAUGCUCUACUACUCCAACAAGGACAGGGGUCAUAUUUUAUUCAAUGUAUUUAUUAACGAAGUACCUUUUUAAAAAGAAAUGUACAAGUGAAUCCAGCGCUCUGCAAUCUCUGUGUAGUCUGUAGUUUAUAAACCUCAGAGACUGGCUGGCUGUCAGCGGGUUGAGGACUGAAAACAUAGGAAAUAUGGCAAUGUACAUAUUUACAUAGUGAAGAGCAGGCUUGUCUAGACCGACACAGCGUAAUGUUGGUUGAAAAUAAUAAACUAAAUAACAAGAGCAGCUAGAGGCUAAUGCAUGUAAUGACAGGUUUUAUGACAAUCAGUGAUUGAAGUUAGGAUGGGAAUAAAAAGGCACAGUUUUCACCCCACCACCACUGACAUCUGGGCCUGUAUUCAGAAAUCUUCUCAGAGUAGGUUGGCUGGAUCUAGGAUCAGGUUGUCCCCCCCGUCCAUGUAAUGUCCCGUGUGGCUCAGUUGGAACUUGCGACGCCGGCGGCGGCGGGGGGGGGGAGUGGAUAAGAACGUCUGCUAAAUGACAUAAAUGUAAUGUGUUUCAUUGUGAUCUUAAAAUAAAAAAAUAAAAUCAUAGAUCAGUCCCACAUACUCUGUAGUGACGCUGUAAGAACUUAGUUAAAUUAAAUGGAAAUUACCUUCAUUAUAAUUAUUACCAUUCUAAAAAAGGACCCUUACAGCUUUUCCCAUUCAUUUAUGAGAAUUCCAGGGAGACAUCCCAAAUGGCACCCUAUUGCCUAUAUAGUGCACUACUUUUUACCAGGUCCCUAUGGCCAAUGGCACCCUAUUCUCCAUGUAGUGCACUACUUUUAAGACCAGUAGAGUACAAUAUAGAGAAUAGGGUGCAAUCCAGGACAUCCCCCCCAAUACUUCCAAUAGCACAGCAUUAAAUACCAUUCAAAAGGGGCAAUGUAGUUUACAACUACAAAUAAAACUAAAAUCAGGUAAAUCCAAUGUAUAAUCAUAAAAUACAUUUUAUAUAAAAUGAGAACAUGCUUGCCGAUUACUGGACAGAUAUUGUCGCAUGAAACAACAUUCUCUCAUCUAAAACGUUAUAAUUCAGAGAGGGAGAUAGUGGGACCACCAUCUUGGAUUUUUUGGGAUGAAUUAGUCCUAUUGUGUAUUUACCCUCUUCGACCAGAUCUGAGUACAAGUCAACUUCAGACACUGUUUCUCCAGAAGUUGAUUUAAAACCCAAUACAUUUAACUCCACAUUAUAGACUGGACUAUUGGGGGAAAUAGGGAUAACCAAGUGAAUUUCUGCCAUACAGACAGAUACGCAAUAAAACAAUACAUUUCACAACAGGACUAACUGUACAGACAGACGGAUUUGACAGAUGUACAGACAGUGCCCAGAGACAGACAGACAUCGCAACACAGACAGGUUAUGGAUUUUCUUUGGCUGUUUACAUAGAUCCACGCACCGUAGAUCAGUUCAUUGUAGAAAUACAAUGUAGUACAUAGAAUACACACAGUCCAGGAACCUUGGAGUAAAAAACAGAUCCUAAGACAGUUUCCUCUCCAGAGAGUGACACCUUAUUCCCUAUUUAGCCUAUGAAACCUGGUGAAAAGUAGUGCACUAUAUAGGGAAUAGGGUGUCACUUGAGACACAACACAGGGUUAGGGGUAAACUGAUCCCAGAUCUGUGCUCUGCUAUGGGGCAGCUUUGAUCUGAAACAGAUACAGGCCCUGGGACAGAGAGGAGAAGUUAGGGGUAAGCUGAUCCCAGAUCUGUGCUCUGCUAUGGGGCAGCUUUGAUCUGAAACAGAUACAGGCCCUGGGACAGAGAGGAGAAGUUAGGGGUAAACUGAUCCCAGAUCUGUGCUCUGCUAUGGGGCAGCUUUGAUCUGAAACAGAUACAGGCCCUGGGUGUCUGAGGGGAGAAGUUGGGGAGAGUUGCAGUACAUUAAUGAUCGACAGACAGUUUUCAAAUUCCAAACCAAUCCCUAGUCCCCACUCCAAAACUAGGGUGUAGAGGGGAUUCAACCUAGAGUGUAGGGGGUUAGGGUUUCAACCUAGAGUGUAGGGGGUUAGGGUUUCAACCUAGAGUGUAGGGGGUUAGGGUUUCAACCUAGAGUGUAGGGGGUUAGGGUUUCAACCUAGAGUGUAGAGGGGAUUCAACCUAGAGUGUAGGGGGGUUUCAACCUAGAGUGUAGGGGGUUAGGGUUUCAACCUAGAGUGUAGGGGGGUUUCAACCUAGAGUGUAGAGGGGAUUCAACCUAGAGUGUAGGGGGUUAGGAUUCAACCUAGAGUGUAGGGGGUUAGGAUUCAACCUAGAGUGUAGGGGGUUAGGAUUCAACCUAGAGUGUAGGGGGUUAGGGUUUCAACCUAGAGUGUAGGGGGUUAGGGUUUCAACCUAGAGUGUAGGGGGUUAGGGUUUCAACCUAGAGUGUAGGGUUCAACCUAGGGUGUAGGGAUUAGGGUUCAACCUAGGGUGUAGGGGUUAGGGUUUCAACCUAGGGUGUAAGGGGUUAGGGUUGGACAUAAGUAAGAGGGUAUGUCCCAAAGUGCACACUAUACCCUAUAUAGUACACUACUUCUGACCAGAGCUCUAUGAACCCUGGUGAAACGUAUCACACUAUAUAGAGAACACGGUGCCCUUUGGGACAAACAGCCAGAGGCAGUUGAACGGGAUAAUAGACAUAAAGCGUCUCCUGGAGAAGCAUGGACUGCCUGAAAACAGAUUUCAGCCCUUACAGGACUCAGCCAUCUAGCUUUAAAAUAUAUACCUUUACAUAUAAAAACACAAGGAGUCCCAAACCACACCCUAACCCCCCUCUCCCCCCACGUAGUGCACUAGCUGGGGAAUAGGGUGCCAUUAGCCAUAGGGCUCUGGUUAAAUGUAGUGCACUAGAAAGGGAAUAGGGUGCCAUUAGGGACUGUACCCCAUCCUGUGCACAUGUUAAAAACUACUAGUACCUGUACAUUACCCACCCAGAAAAAAAUACUCAAUGUCUACAGGUAAAAAGACAACUUUUCCUUUUAUGUCCGUAGGCAUAGCGUUGUAUCAAAAAUAUACAGCUGCAGUAAACCAGUUUUACAGAACAAUGUUUGUUUGAACAGAAUGCUUUGACAUCGCUAGGUGACAUCAGAGGAUGGAGCGUGAAGGUUCUUUAUGAUGUCAUUAUGAUGUCCACGUGUUGAGGAGAUGAAGGCUCCACUCCAUGAUGAAAAUCCUCACCUCAUCGGUUUACGUCCCAAACGGCAGCCUAUUCCCUAUAGUGACCAGGGACCAUAGGGCUUUUAUUUUGGAACAUACAAGCUUGUAAAAACACUGUCUUUCAGCUCCAAAUGAUUUUACAUUUCCGUAUUCUACAAAUAUUCCCAGGCAUAAUAGAGAGAUAUGUGAUUGUACACAAAUGUAAGCAAGGUUUGAAAUGAUUAUGUUUUAGUCAAAUAGUCUAUCUGUUUGGGCUUGUUGUAUUCAAUUUGCAGUCCACAAAUUCUAUGUAAUUAUAUUCAGGCCCCCUGACCAGCCACUCAAGAAAAUAAAAUAAAAAAUUAAAUCAGCCUAUGGCUGAAUCUAGUUGAUGAUCACUGGGGUCUAGGGUGCUAUUUGGGCCGCACCCAUCCCCUCUGCCCCCUCAGUGACUAGUCUAGGGACUGAAGGGAGUGAGAUUCCGGAAUGGAACUCAGCCGUCAUCCUGUUCCGAGCACCAUGACGUCUCCAUAGCAACUUAGCAGCAGCUGGUUCUGGAAGGAGAACAACUCCCCAGAGCAGGAGUGGAAGACUGUUUAGAAAUCAGCUUUUCACCCUGUUCAUCCCCCCAUCCUUCCUUUCCAAACGUGUUCCUCUACGCUUCAACCAGGCAGUGACAUUCUGUGUACCAUUCCAUCCUUCUGUCUCAUCCUUUCCCACCCUCCUUUACAUCCCCCCGCUCCUCCUCUUCCAAAAGCACUCUCUCCAACUCCUCUUCCUCCGUUCCGGUUCAGUCUUUUCUCUGCGUCAUUGUUCCUCCUCCACUUCCUACUGGCUCCAUUUCCUGUUUCCUGGUUCAGUCCACCUUCUCUACCUUACCGAUGAUCUUCUCCUCGUAGAUGGGCAAGACGGUGUCGUCCUCUUUGACUUCCUCAAACACCACGCCACAGUCAAACUCAUCACUCACCUUCUUAAAGUAGAAC